GCUAGAAGCAGGGCCAGUUGACCGACUGAUUGCCGGCCAGUUUGAAGGCUGACCAGUCCACCCCCACCCGAGGCAUCCUCAGAGAGGGGUCCCAACAGAGCCAGGCAGAAUUGGUGUGGGAGUGAAACUUUAAACCUUGUGGAGGUUGGAUACAAGAAGAUGUGGCCCGACCUUUAAAGUGGACCUAAAAAUGGCAGGGGAGCUAAUGGUCUUUGGGAAAGGAAUGGGAUUAUUUCCAUCACGGAGUCCAUGAGGUGGAGAUUACCAGAACUAGUUGUGAAUCAGAAUCAGCACUUCUGGGAGUUUAAGAAAAAGAAGAGGGAGACUCAAGAGGAGAUACCUGACUUCUGGCUAAUCAGAUGUGAGGAUUCAAGGAAUUCACUGGCAAAAUAAAAGAAGUGACAAUAGUUGUACUGAAUGUGGAAUAGCAGCUCGUGCUGGUUUCAAAAAAUAGCGGAUAAAGCCUGUUCUCUCAGACUCUCCGGUGUGACAGAGAGGAAAUCUAGUUAUGUGUCAGCCAUGUGGGGUCAUGAUGAGAAAGGCUGCCCGCCUGAGUAUGGGUGACUAGCGCAUUGGCUGUCCUGCACCAGGUGGAGACUGGAUGGGUUAAACUGAGCUAAUUGACAAGACUGUUAGCUAACGUCAUUUGCAGGCACGGUUUGCAGUUCGAGGACUGUAGCACCUUUGGCUUGCAGGAGAUUUUGAAGCUGCGCAGACUGUUCUCAUCAGGAAUAGUUUGAUUUAAUUCAGGAUCUUACUGCCUUGAGUUCAGUGCAUUUGUUCAGCAGCUGUGGAGGAGGACAGGCACCCCGAAGUUCGCGUAAUAGCUCCUCGCGGGAGAAAACAUAAAGCUAUGAGAUUUCACGAUGGGGGCCUCUUCCAGAAGGAAUGGUGUGGUGGCUAGGUAACGGCUACUCUUGGAGCGCUCAAUGGUGUGGUACAUUGGAGGGUCUGAGUCCCAGGGGUUUUGGCAUUCUGGGAGGUGGGUAUAAUCUGAAGAAAAAGAUCUAGUGUCCAUGGAGGUGAUGUCCUCGAAAUCAAUGCUCCGGCUUGGAGGUCUGUCUGUGGGCGCAAGGGUUGCAUAGGCACUACUUGAAGGGGCGGUGGAAGGUACCUGAGCCGUAAAGCUUGGCUCGCCCAGCCCAAGGAUGUUCAUGGAAUUGUCCAGGGGGUCUAUAUCACACUGGAGCUCAUCCAUGGUGGAGACAUAGAUGUCUAUGCACGACGACGGUCUUCUGGCGUCAGGAAUGAUGGCCAAAGUGUUUACAGGGGCUGCAGGAGUUUUGGAUUCUUUUGAAACCGAGUGGGAACUAGUAGCCCGGUGUAGGCUCAGGGACCUCUCCUUAAAAAUACUUUCCAACUUUUCUAUACCACCUCUGUCUUUCACAUUGACUGAAUAGAAAGAAUGGCUUCUCAUACGGGGCAUUAAGGUUGGAGAAGUUGGGGACAUGGUCUCCUCACCUGCAGGGUCUAUACUGUCUUGGAGUUUGAAGGUAUUCCCCUCCUGGCUGUUGAAGCUGCUCUGGCGGACGAUGUAGGCUGCGUCCGUGCAGUCCGAGGAGGUCCGUGAGCGGAUUUUGUUGGACUCGGUCCGCUCCAGACCGGUCAGACGCUCCAGGGCCGUGGCCAUGCGCCCGAUGAGGUCCUCCAGCUGCGCGAGCCGGAUGUCCACGGUCUGGAGUGAAGCCUUCAUGCAGUGCUCUCUCUCGUUGACCUCCUCCAGCCGCAUGGACAUGUUCUCCACCCUGUGCGAGGAAGAGAGAGCCACAGUCACUCUGCGCGAUAAAUGUCAAUGCAGAUAAGCAAAAGGGAUUUUACUGUCUGGGUCAGCAAGAGCUCAUUGGUGAAUGAUACACAUCACGGAUGUAAAUAGGCCUGAGGAGAAAACCAGGAGUUCGGAGUCAAGAUUGUAGUCCCCAGGAGUCAACUCCCAUCUAAUAAAUGGAAUAAGAAUGAUUCCAGGAAAUAAAAUGGAGAAGAGAAUAAGAAUUUAUGGAUCAACAAGGAUCCCCAAGGAGACAGAUAUAGUGCCCAUCACAACAGGGACACAACACGGCCCUGGGAGCUGUGAGGUGAACGCCUGCUCCUCGAGCCAGGAAGCCAUCAGAGGGGACUCAACAGUUCAGUGAAAAACCCAAGCGAAGAAGACGACUAGCCUCUCGGGACAGUAUGGCCAGGAAAAUGAUAUUCAAAACAAGAUUCCAGGGGCACGGAAAAUUUCAGCUUCAAUAUGCAAUUUCUUAAGAAUUAUGUUAUUUUCUAUAAAGUCAUCAUUUCUGAUAACUUUGAAAUAUGGUUUAAUAAGGAAAAAGAGGAUAGACAGGCCCUGACUGUUCUAAAUUUCAAAUAUUCCCCAGAAUCCUAGUGGUGGGCUGGGGGUGGGCUGGAAGGUGAAAGCCACGCUGUCUCCCCUGAGCCUAAUCAUGGGGAAGGAGACACUGACACGGGUUUACAGAGUGUAGGCAAAGAUGCAGAAUGGCUAAAGCUAAGUCUUGCUUAUCCCGAGGCUGUUACCUAAUUUGUGAAUUAUUUCAGUCCUUUAGGGUCACCGAUCUCUCCCUCUGAACCAAUUAUCCUUCUCAUUAACACUGGGAAGAAAAAAGGAGAAAGGUUUAAACUUGAGUUAAUCAAGAGAGAGACCAAAGAUCAGAAUUUGGAAAAAAGAUAUGGUGAGAAAAGAUAUGGGGGAUGCUCAUCUGUUUUGGCGUACUUUUUUUUAUUAUUUGUGAAUUUCAGAUAUCCUAAGUUACUCCUGAUUCUCUUAUGAAAAAUUCUGAGUUGAAUAAACCAUUAAUAGUCAUGUUUCCAGCACUUUUUCGAUCUAGGUGACGUGAAAAAGGGCAAAGAAACUCUUUGUCUUGGGAAAGAUAAUGUUAGAUUAAAAGAUGCUACUAGGAAUAAAUAGCUUAAAUUUUUACCAUCAUGGAGAAAAUUCAACCAGCAACUGUGGUGACAAGUGGAACCAACAGGUGGGGUGAUAGACAAACAUGAUCUGGAUGCUUUAAUUUAGGGUGUGAGAAUUAAAUGCCUAUGGACGAGCCAGAUCAUGUAAGUAAGUAAAGCAGGCAGGAUAUAAGACGUUUGAGACAGGGACUCAGGCUGCGGACAGUAUGCGUAAUCCAAAGGCAUGCAGAAUGGAUUUAAGAAAUCACUGCAAGCCCCACACAACAGUCCUCUGUCGUCAGAUGCUGCCAAUGAGCCACCAGUCGGUGAUUUCUGAUUAAAUGAGUGAAGAAACCGGAAAAGAACUUCCAACUGUGAUCACCAGAAUAUUUAGGUAACCCUGAAGAACCAGUGGGAAAGGAAAAAAAGUAAUGCCAGAGACUGCAGAUAGGAAAAUAUCUUCCUGAUAGUCAAAAUUCCUGGACUUUAGAAAUUAUGGAAGUGUAAGUUUGAUGUAAAUUCUGGGUCACACUGCAGAAUGGGUUAGUGAUAGACUGAGGAGAUUUUUUUGUGUGUGUGUACUUAAGAAGGUUAACAGGGGACUGCAUGGGAUCAAGAAUAAUCUUAAAUCUUUUUUGAUAAUCUAGUCCAACAGAUUGACAUAGAUGCCCACCCAGUACUUGUGAUAAAGUACACUGUGAGUUUAGUAGAGAGGUUGACCAACUGGGCUGAAUGGAGAGAUGUGGAUACCUGGCUAGUUGACCAACCAAACCAAAAAAAGUAGAACAAUGGGCUGAUGUUGUCAUGAAAGCUAUUUUUGGAGCUGUGCAAUGGGCCUUUGUCCAAGUUCACCGGACUCGUGCUGGUGAACAUUUUGGUGAGCUAUUUGAAUGAAGACGUAGUAAGUAUGCUUAUCCAGCAAACAGAUGUAAAAUGAAUAAGAUAAAUAAUUAAUAUGUUGGCUGAUGAAAUCAGAAUUCUAAGGGUCUACAGAUGUUAGAAUAAUGAACCAAAGGGAAAAAAAAGAAAAAUUUCACAGCAAUGAAUGUUAACUACUGAUUUUGGGUUAAAAACAAAGAUUUCACAAGAAGAGCUUGAGGAUAUUUGAUAACAGCUCAUUAAAAAAAAAAAAAAGCCCCAGCUUUAAUUAAUUGCAGG